AGAACGAACGCUGGCGGCAGGCUUAACACAUGCAAGUCGAGCGCCCAGCAAUGGGAGCGGCGGACGGGUGAGUAACACGUGGGAACAUGCCCUUUGGUACGGAACAACUCAGGGAAACUUGAGCUAAUACCGUAUGUGCCGGUAACGGGAAAGAUUUAUCGCCAAAGGAUUGGCCCGCGUCCGAUUAGCUAGUUGGUGAGGUAACGGCCCACCAAGGCUCCGAUCGGUAGCUGGUUUGAGAGAACGACCAGCCACACUGGGACUGAGGCACGGCCCAGACUCCUACGGGAGGCAGCAGUGGGGAAUCUUGGACAAUGGGGAAACCCUGAUCCAGCCAUGCCGCGUGAGUGAUGAAGGCCUUCGGGUUGUAAAACUCUUUCGACGGGGACGAUAAUGACGGUACCCGUAGAAGAAGCUCCGGCUAACUUCGUGCCAGCAGCCGC
rnacentral:rRNA from 1 species